AGUUUGAUCCUGGCUCAGAAUCAACGCUGGCGGCGUGCCUAACACAUGCAAGUCGAACGAGAAAGGGUAGCAAUACCUGAGUAAAGUGGCGCACGGGUGAGUAACACGUGACUAACCUACCUUUUAGUGGGGGAUAACCUAGGGAAACCUGGGCUAAUACCGCAUAACACUUACGAGUCAAAGCAGCAAUGCGCUGAAAGAGGGGGUCGCGGCCGAUUAGCUAGUUGGCGGGGUAAUGGCCCACCAAGGCAGUGAUCGGUAUCCGGCCUGAGAGGGCGCACGGACACACUGGAACUGAAACACGGUCCAGACUCCUACGGGAGGCAGCAGUGGGGAAUUUUGCGCAAUGGGGGAAACCCUGACGCAGCAACGCCGCGUGGAGGAUGAAGUCCCUUGGGACGUAAACUCCUUUCGAUCGGGACGAUAAUGACGGUACCGGAAGAAGAAGCCCCGGCUAACUUCGUGCCAGCAGCCGCGGUAAUACGAGGGGGGCAAGCGUUGUUCGGAAUUAUUGGGCGUAAAGGGUGCGUAGGUGGUUCGGCAAGUCUUGUGUGAAAUCUUCAGGCUCAACUUGAAGUCUGCAUAAGAAACUGCCGGGCUUGAGUAUGGGAGAGGUGAGUGGAAUUUCCGGUGUAGCGGUGAAAUGCGUAGAUAUCGGAAGGAACACCUGUGGCGAAAGCGGCUCACUGGACCAUUACUGACACUGAGGCACGAAAGCUAGGGGAGCAAACAGGAUUAGAUACCCUGGUAGUCC
rnacentral:rRNA from 1 species